UAAUACGGAGGAUCCGAGCGUUAUCCGGAUUUAUUGGGUUUAAAGGGUGCGUAGGCGGAAUGGUAAGUCAGAGGUGAAAUCCUGCAGCUCAACUGUAGAAUAGCCUUUGAAACUGUCGUUCUUGAGUACAUUUGAGGUAGGCGGAAUGUGGUGUGUAGCGGUGAAAUGCAUAGAUAUACCACAGAACACCGAUUGCGAAGGCAGCUUACUAAACUGUAACUGACGCUGAGGCACGAAAGCGUGGGUAUCAAACAGGAUUAGAUACCCUGGUAGUCCACGCUGUAAACGAUGAUUACUGGUUGUUUGCGAUACACAGCAAGUGACUGAGGGAAACCAUUAAGUAAUCCACCUGGGGAGUACGUCGGCAACGAUG
rnacentral:rRNA from 1 species